rnacentral:lncRNA from 1 species
AGAAAACUUUCUGAAACUGAGCAGAAAACUGGUGGUCAAACCACUGAAGAUUGUGGAAAGGUUGUCAAGAAUUACUAUCCACAAAGCCAUUACGACCAAAUGAGGCUACAGGUUGAAUAGUACACCUGAAUUUCUGGAUCCCUGCUGGUUCUUGGCCACGACCACCUCUGC